GUGCCUGCUUAAGGAGCACGUAUAUUAAAAUGGGGACGAAACAGAGAUGAGCGUGGCCCCUGUGUAAGGAUGACAUGCACUUUCACGAAGCAUUCUGUAUUUUG
ensembl:snRNA U6 U6 spliceosomal RNA